rnacentral:rRNA from 1 species
AGACUUUGAUUAUGGCUCAGAUUGAACGCUAGCGGGAUGCUUUACACAUGCAAGUCGAACGGCAGCAUGAGAGAGCUUGCUCUCUUGAUGGCGAGUGGCGGACGGGUGAGUAAUGUAUCGGAACGUGCCCGGUAGUGGGGGAUAACUACGCGAAAGCGUAGCUAAUACCGCAUAUACUCUACGGAGGAAAGAGGGGGAUCGUAAGACCUCUUGCUACCGGAGCGGCCGAUAUCAGAUUAGCUGGUUGGUGGGGUAACGGCCUACCAAGGCGGUGAUCUGUAGCUGGUUUGAGAGGACGACCAGCCACACUGGGACUGAGACACGGCCCAGACUCCUACGGGAGGCAGCAGUGGGGAAUUUUCGACAAUGGGGGGAACCCUGAUCGAGCCAUCUCGCGUGUGGGACGAAGGCCUUCGGGUUGUAAACCACUUUUUCUCAACGAAGAAAAGUCUUAAGGCUAAUACCUUAAGAAUGCCUGACCGGUAGUUUGAGGAAAUAAGCACCCGGGCUAACUAC